GAUGAACGCUGGCGGCGUGCCUAAUACAUGCAAGUAGAACGCUGAAGGAGGAGCUUGCUCUUCUGGAUGAGUUGCGAACGGGUGAGUAACGCGUAGGUAACCUGCCUGGUAGCGGGGGAGAACUAUUGGAAACGAUAGCUAAUACCGCAUGACAACAGUUAUAGCAUGAUAACUGUUUAAAAGGGGCAACUGCGCCACUACCAGAUGGAGCUGCGUUGUAUUAGCUAGUUGGUGAGGUAACGGCUCACCAAGGCGACGAUACAUAGCCGACCUGAGAGGGUGAUAGGCGACACUGGGACUGAGACACAGCCCAGACUCCUACGGGAGGCAGCGCUAGGGAGUAUUCGGCGAUGGGCGGAAGUCUGAGCGAGCAACGCCGCGUGAGUGAAGAAGGUGUUCGGAUAGUAAAGCUCUGUUGUAAGAGAAGAACGAGUGUGAGAGUGGAAAGUUCACCGUGUGAAGGGAUCUUAACAGAAAGGGACGGCUAAAUACCUG
rnacentral:rRNA from 1 species